GUGGGGAAUCUUAGACAAUGGGGGAAACCCUGAUCUAGCCAUGCCGCGUGAGCGAUGAAGGCCUUAGGGUUGUAAAGCUCUUUCAGCUGGGAAGAUAAUGACGGUACCAGCAGAAGGAGCCCCGGCUAACUCCGUGCCAGCAGCCGCGGUAAUACGGAGGGGGCUAGCGUUGUUCGGAAUUACUGGGCGUAAAGCGCACGUAGGCGGAUCAGAAAGUCAGAGGUGAAAUCCCAGGGCUCAACCUUGGAACUGCCUUUGAAACUCCUGGUCUUGAGGUCGAGAGAGGUGAGUGGAAUUCCGAGUGUAGAGGUGAAAUUCGUAGAUAUUCGGAGGAACACCAGUGGCGAAGGCGGCUCACUGGCUCGAUACUGACGCUGAGGUGCGAAAGCGUGGGGAGCAAACAGGAUUAGAAACCCUUGUAGUCC
rnacentral:rRNA from 1 species